rnacentral:rRNA from 1 species
AUGGCGUCCUCCUCCCGCUCCCACCAAGAAGCGGAGCUCGAUGGCGACCACAUCUCCUCCCCACUCCUGCCGUCGUCGACGUCGCGCAGCUCGCCGGAGCGGGAUGAGGAGGAGGAGGAGGGGGAGAACUCGCCGAUCGAGCAGGUGGCGCUGACGGUGCCGGUGGGCGACGACCCGGACACGCCGGUGCUCACCUUCCGGAUGUGGGUCCUCGGCGUCCUCUCCUGCGCCGUGCUCUCCUUCCUCAACCAGUUCUUCUGGUACCGCAAGGAGCCGCUCACAGUCACCGCCAUCUCCGCCCAGGUCGCCGUCGUGCCGCUCGGCCGGCUCAUGGCGGCCGCGCUGCCGGAGCGCGCCUUCUUCCGCGGCAGGCCGUACGAGUUCACCCUCAACCCAGGGCCGUUCAACGUGAAGGAGCACGUGCUGAUCACCAUCUUCGCCAACGCCGGCGCCGGCACCGUCUACGCCAUCCACGUCGUCACCGCCGUCCGCGUCUUCUACGGCAAGAAUCUAUCCUUCUUCGUCUCCCUCCUCGUCGUCCUCACCACGCAGGUGCUCGGGUUCGGGUGGGCGGGGAUUUUCCGGCGGUACCUCGUGGAGCCGGCGACCAUGUGGUGGCCGGCCAACCUCGUGCAGGUCUCCCUCUUCAGGGCGCUCCAUGAGAAAGAAAGACGUCGAAAAGGCGGCUUCACGCGCAACCAGUUCUUCCUGGUGGCGUUCGUCAGUAGCUUCGCAUACUACGUCUUCCCGGGCUAUCUGUUUCAGAUGCUCACCUCCCUCUCCUGGAUCUGCUGGGUCUUCCCCCACUCAGUGCUUGUCCAGCAGCUCGGCUCAGGCCUCCACGGGCUCGGCAUUGGCACGAUCGGCCUCGACUGGGCGUCUGUCUCCUCCUACCUUGGGAGCCCUCUCGUCAGCCCCUGGUUUGCCACCGUAAAUGUCGGCGCGGGCUUCUUCAUCAUCAUGUAUGUAAUCACCCCUAUCGGGUACUGGUUUAACUUCUACAAGGCACGGACCUUCCCUAUCUUCUCUGCCGAUCUCUUCACCUCGACCGGGCAGAAGUACAACAUCUCGGCCAUCGUGGACGACCAUUUCCAUUUCGACACGGAGGCCUACGAGAGAAAUGGGCCACUAUAUCUCAGCACUCUAUUGGCAAUCACAUACGGUGUCAGCUUCGCAUCACUAACUGCGACGAUCGUUCAUGUUCUCUUGUUCCAUGGAAGCGAAAUUUUGCAGUUAAGUAGAUCAACAUUUCAAGGGAAAAGCAUGGACAUACAUACAAAGCUAAUGAGGAGAUAUAAGAAGGUCCCUGAGUGGUGGUUCAUCUGCAUCCUUCUUGUUAGCAUUGCUGCCACUAUAUUUGCUUGUGAGUAUUACAUCGAGCAGCUCCAGCUGCCCUGGUGGGGAGUACUGCUUGCAUGUGUCAUUGCCUUUUUCUUCACCCUCCCAAUUGGAAUCAUCACAGCGACAACAAACCAGACCCCGGGAUUAAACAUCGUCACAGAGUAUAUCAUCGGGUACUUGUACCCUGGACGACCCGUCGCGAAUAUGUGCUUUAAGGUUUACGGUUAUAUCAGCAUGCAUCAAGCUUUGAUGUUUCUGCAAGAUUUUAAGUUGGGCCACUACAUGAAGAUUCCCCCAAGGACAAUGUUUAUGGCUCAGGUUGCAGGAACAUCAAUUGCGGCAUUUGUGUACCUUGGAACGGCAUGGUGGCUGAUGGACACAAUCCCCAACAUCUGCAACAUUGACCUUCUCUCAGCGGACAACCCCUGGACAUGCCCCACUGAUCAUGUGUUCUAUGAUGCGUCGGUCAUAUGGGGACUUAUUGGACCGCGCAGAAUAUUUGGGGUCUUGGGAACUUACUCGGCAGUGAACUGGUUCUUCUUGGGAGGUGCUAUUGCUCCGCUGUUGGUAUGGUUUGCACACAAGGCAUUCCCCAGCCAGAAUUGGAUCUUACUCAUCAACAUGCCCGUGAUGAUCGGUUGCACUGUCAAGAUGCCGCCUGCCACUGCAGUAAACUACACCACAUGGAUACUUGUUGGGUUUCUGUCAGGUUAUGUGGUUUAUAGGUAUCGACGUGACUGGUGGGAGCGGCACAAUUACCUGCUCUCGGGUGCACUAGAUGCAGGUUUGGCGUUCAUGGCUGUCUUAAUUUACUUGUGCCUAGGCUUGGAGAACAUUAGUUUGAAUUGGUGGGGCAAUGACUUGGAUGGAUGUCCCCUGGCUUCUUGCCCCACUGCUAAAGCAGGUCCCUAUCGGCCGACCUCUCAACAGCGACCUCUCACCAGUCACCCUUGGCACGACGGUCCACCCAACUGGACAACCACUCAGCCUAUAUAA